rnacentral:rRNA from 1 species
GAUGAAAACCAUUUUUAAAC